rnacentral:rRNA from 1 species
GCUUACGGACAUACCAGCCUGGCUAUGCCUGAUCUCGUCUGAUCUCGGAAGCUAAGCAGGUUUGGGCCUGGUUAGUACUUGGAUGGGAGACCGCCUGGACCAGGUGCUGUAAGCA